rnacentral:tRNA from 1 species
AGCAGCGUGGCCUAAUGGAAAGAGCAUGGGCUUGGGAGUCAGAGGACCUGGGUUCUAAUCCCAGUUCUGCCA